UGGUUUAGAACACGCUGCGYCAUUCAGCUUGAACAGAAAUUUUAUCUUGAAGUCCAACUAGAACACUUCRAGGACAUUCAUAACGUAGAUACAUUUCAUAKUCGAAGKGUGGCUCUUCAUUGAUCUUCAUUGGGGAAAAGAUGGAAUUAGCAAGAUUGGUAAUAUUUGUUCUGUUGUUUUUGGUGKCUUGCCACACGGAAUCUAAAGCUUCGCCAAUCAACAAGCCUUGCGACAGCGAUAACAUGGAGUUUGUAUGUAGAGGUGCUGAUAUAUGCUCCAUUUGCGAGGACUCUGRUCAUAUAAGCCACGCCUUUAUCAAAGAUUCCUGCUGUAAAACCUGCAGAGAUUGCCUAYUGAAAAAGAAGGAAUAGACUAUUAGAAAACCCGGAUGAGGGGUACCAUCUGAUGGUCUGACGCUAAAUAUUUAAAGGAAAUUACACCCACUACAUUACKUAUUGAUUUAGUGAACUGAAAGACGUUACGUGUGAGGUCAUAAUAACGCAACGACAGCGCCAAGUGACGAGCGAGAUCUAACUGUCUUUUUGUAUUCUCUAAUUCCGAUUUUUCCUUUUCAAUCUAUGCCACUUUUCCUAUUGCAUCAUGUCAUGAUAUGGAAGAUCCUCUCAUCCUAUUAUUAGCUAGCUUUUGCAUUAAAUAAAACAAAAAUAAAGUAGAUACUAGACUAGACAAGCAAAUAUUAUACUAUGRAAGAGUGAAUUUCAUUUAUUCAAUAAAAAGAACAAUUAAAAUUGGAAAAUAUAA